rnacentral:tRNA from 1 species
GGAGGGUUGCCAGAGUGGUAAUGGAGCGGCUUGCUAAGCCGUGACGAUGAAUAGUCGUCCACAGGUUCAAAUCCUGUACCCUCCG